AAGAUAAGAAAUCAGGACACUGAGAAAUGACUUCCUCAAGAUCACAACUAGUUAAGGACAGCAUUGGUCUUUUUUUUUUUUUUUAAUUUCCUUUCAUCUGAGAAAAUAGAAGAAAAAUGAAGUAAGGCUUCUCAGCACUCCUGACAGAGAUAGAACUGAGGGCAGCAGGACUUCUUUUCUGCUAUCUUUGCUUUUGCCAUAAAGUUUGUAAGUUUCCCAGAGAAGAGCAGCCAUUCUGACCAGAUUCAGAUGACUAUUUCAACAAUUCUGGAACAGAAACACCAUGAAUGACCGAGAAAUCUGCACGGGACUAUGUCAACAUGGAGUUCUGUAUAUGAGAAUAAAGGCUUCAGCAGCCCCAGAAGACCCCAACACUGUUCCUGAUUUUCAUUGUAAGGACAUAAUGAAAAGGCAGCCAUCUUCAAGCCAAGACAAGAACCUCAACAGAACCCAACCAAGGUAAUACCUUGAUAUUGAAUUUCCAGCCUUUAGACCUGUGAGAAAAUAAAUUUUCAUUGUUUAAGCAC